UACGUAGGGUGCGAGCGUUGUCCGGAAUUAUUGGGCGUAAAGAGCUCGUAGGCGGUCUGUUACGUCAACUGUGAAAACUCGGGGCUCAACCCCGAGCCUGCAGUCGAUACGGGCAGACUAGAGUUCGGCAGGGGAGACUGGAAUUCCUGGUGUAGCGGUGAAAUGCGCAGAUAUCAGGAGGAACACCGGUGGCGAAGGCGGGUCUCUGGGCCGAAACUGACGCUGAGGAGCGAAAGCGUGGGGAGCGAACAGG
rnacentral:rRNA from 1 species